rnacentral:rRNA from 1 species
CUACGGGCGGCAGCAGUGAGGAAUAUUGCACAAUGGGGGGAACCCUGAUGCAGCAACGCCGCGUGGAGGAUGACGCAUUUCGGUGUGUAAACUCCUUUUAUAUGUCAAGAAAAUGACGGUAGCAUAUGAAUAAGCACCGGCUAACUCCGUGCCAGCAGCCGCGGUAAUACGGAGGGUGCAAGCGUUACUCGGAAUCACUGGGCGUAAAGGACGCGUAGGCGGGCUUGUAAGUCAGGUGUGAAAUCCUACAGCUUAACUGUAGAACUGCACUUGAAACUACGAGCCUAGAGUAUGGGAGGGGGAGAUGGAAUUAGUGGUGUAGGGGGUAAAAUCCGUAGAUAUCACUAGGAAUACCUAAAGCGAAGGCGAUCUCCUGGAACAUAACUGACGCUAAGGCGUGAAAGCGUGGGGAGCAAACAGGAUUAGAUACCCGCGUAGUC